rnacentral:rRNA from 1 species
GACGAACGCUGGCGGCGUGCUUAACACAUGCAAGUCGAACGGAAAGGCCCUGCUUUUGUGGUGUGCUCGAGUGGCGAACGGGUGAGUAACACGUGAGUAACCUGCCCUUGACUUUGGGAUAACUUCAGGAAACUGGGGCUAAUACCGGAUAGGAGCUCCUGCUGCAUGGUGGGGGUUGGAAAGUUUCGGCGGUUGGGGAUGGACUCGCGGCUUAUCAGCUUGUUGGUGGGGUAGUGGCUUACCAAGGCUUUGACGGGUAGCCGGCCUGAGAGGGUGACCGGCCACAUUGGGACUGAGAUACGGCCCAGACUCCUACGGGAGGCAGCAGUGGGGAAUAUUGCACAAUGGGCGGAAGCCUGAUGCAGCAACGCCGCGUGCGGGAUGACGGCCUUCGGGUUGUAAACCGCUUUCGCCUGUGACGAAGCGUGAGUGACGGUAAUGGGUAAAGAAGCAUCGGCUAACUACGUG